rnacentral:rRNA from 1 species
AGCAGCCGCGGUAAUUCCAGCUCCAAUAGCGUAUAUUAAAGUUGUUGCAGUUAAAAAGCUCGUAGUUGAAUUUCGGGAUCAAUUUGCUGGUCGUGCCUUCGGUACGCACUGGUAUUAUUGGUUUCUCCUUUCUAAUGAAUCGCGAUGUCAUUAAUUUGGUGUCGUGGGGAAUCAGGACCGUUACUUUGAAAAAAUUAGAGUGUUUAAAGCAGGCUCACGCUUGAAUACAUUAGCAUGGAAUAAUGAAAUAGGACGUUUGAUUCUAUUUUGUUGGUUUCUAGGAUCGACGUAAUGAUUAAUAGGGAUAGUUGGGGGCAUUAGUAUUCAAUUGUCAGAGGUGAAAUUCUUGGAUUUAUUGAAGACUAACUACUGCGAAAGCAUUUGCCAAGGAUGUUUUCAUUAAUCAAGAACGAAAGUUAGGGGAUCGAAGACGAUCAGAUACCGUCGUAGUCUUAACCAUAAACUAUGCCGACUAGGGAUCGGAUGAUGUUAAUUUUUAAUGACUCAUUCGGCGCCUUAA